rnacentral:rRNA from 1 species
CUUGGUCAUUUAGAGGAAGUAAAAGUCGUAACAAGGUCUCCGUUGGUGAACCAGCGGAGGGAUCAUUAUAGAGUUAUCCAACUCCAAACCCAUGUGAACUUACCAGUGUUGCCUCGGCGGGUUCCAGCGCUUUCCGGAGCUGCUGGGCUCACGGCCCGCCGGUGGUUUUUUACAAACUCUUGUAUUAAUUUGCAAUCUGAGCGUUACUUUUAAAUAAGUCAAAACUUUCAACAACGGAUCUCUUGGUUCUGGCAUCGAUGAAGAACGCAGCGAAAUGCGAUAAGUAAUGUGAAUUGCAGAAUUCAGUGAAUCAUCGAAUCUUUGAACGCACAUUGCGCCCAUUAGUAUUCUAGUGGGCAUGCCUAUUCGAGCGUCAUUUCAACCCUUAAGCCUAGCCUAGUGUUGGGAAUUUACGGUUCAGUAAUUCCCUAAAGUCAGUGGCAGAGCUAGUUCAUCUCUCAGCGUAGUAAUUUUUAUCUCGCUUUUGCAGAAGGUCUAGUCCUCGCCAUAAGCCUUAUAUUUUUCUAGUGGUUGACCUCGGAUUAGGUAGGAAUACCCGCUGAACUUAAGCAUAUCAAUAAGCG